AGUGAACGCUGGCGGUAGGCCUAACACAUGCAAGUCGAACGGCAGCACAGGAGAGCUUGCUCUCUGGGUGGCGAGUGGCGGACGGGUGAGGAAUACAUCGGAAUCUACCUUUUCGUGGGGGAUAACGUAGGGAAACUUACGCUAAUACCGCAUACGACCUACGGGUGAAAGUGGGGGACCGCAAGGCCUCACGCGAUUAGAUGAGCCGAUGUCCGGUUAGCUAGUUGGCGGGGUAAUGGCCCACCAAGGCGACGAUCGGUAGCUGGUCUGGGAGGAGGAUCAGCCACACUGGAACUGAGACACGGUCCAGACUCCUACGGGAGGCAGCAGUGGGGAAUAUUGGACAAUGGGCGCAAGCCUGAUCCAGCCAUACCGCGUGGGUGAAGAAGGCCUUCGGGUUGUAAAGCCCUUUUGUUGGGAAAGAAAUCCAGUCGACUAAUACUCGGUGGGGAUGACGGUACCCAAAGAAUAAGCACCGGCUAACUUCGUGCCAGCCGCCGCUGUAAAAC
rnacentral:rRNA from 1 species